UACGUAGGGUGCGAGCGUUAAUCGGAAUUACUGGGCGUAAAGCGUGCGCAGGCGGUUGUGCAAGACAGAUGUGAAAUCCCCGGGCUUAACCUGGGAACUGCAUUUGUGACUGCACGACUAGAGUGCGGCAGAGGGGAGUGGAAUUCCGCGUGUAGCAGUGAAAUGCGUAGAUAUGCGGAGGAACACCGAUGGCGAAGGCAGCUCCCUGGGCCUGCACUGACGCUCAUGCACGAAAGCGUGGGGAGCAAACAGG
rnacentral:rRNA from 1 species